UACGUAGGGUGCAAGCGUUGUCCGGAAUUAUUGGGCGUAAAGAGCUCGUAGGCGGUUCGUCGCGUCGGCUGUGAAAUCCCGGAGCUCAACUCCGGGUCUGCAGUCGAUACGGGCGGACUCGAGUUCGGCAGGGGAGACUGGAAUUCCUGGUGUAGCGGUGAAAUGCGCAGAUAUCAGGAGGAACACCGGUGGCGAAGGCGGGUCUCUGGGCCGAUACUGACGCUGUGGAGCGAAAGCGUGGGGAGCGAACAGG
rnacentral:rRNA from 1 species